AUUGAACGCUGGCGGCAUGCCUUACACAUGCAAGUCGAACGGCAGCACGGAGCUUGCUCUGGUGGCGAGUGGCGAACGGGUGAGUAAUAUAUCGGAACGUACCCAAGAGUGGGGGAUAACGUAGCGAAAGUUACGCUACUACCGCAUACGAUCUAAGAAUGAAAGCAGGGGACCUUCGGGCAUUGUGCUCCUGGAGCGGCCGAUAUCUGAUUAGCUAGUUGGUGAGGUAAAGGCUCACCAAGGCAUCGAUCAGUAGCUGGUCUGAGAGGACGACCAGCCACACUGGAACUGAGACACGGUCCAGACUCCUACGGGAGGCAGCAGUGGGGAAUUUUGGACAAUGGGGGCAACCCUGAUCCAGCAAUGCCGCGUGAGUGAAGAAGGCCUUCGGGUUGUAAAGCUCUUUUGUCAGGGAAGAAACGGUGAAGGCUAAUAUCCUUUGCUAAUGACGGUACCUGAAGAAUAAGCACCGGCUAACUACGUGCCAGCAGCCGCCGUAA
rnacentral:rRNA from 1 species